UUUCCGCGCCGGAUUCUCUUGGCGCGGCCAUCCGUCUGCGAACUGUUGCGGCCUUCACUGGCUUGCUUCAGGGAGCAGACCUUUUACUUUGAAAAAAUUAGAGUGUUUAAGGCAGGCUCCGCGCCUGAAUACAUUAGCAUGGAAUAAUGGAAUAAGACACUUGUCCGUUUGAUUGGUUUGCGGACUGGUGUAAUGAUUAAUAGGGACAGUUGGGGGCAUUAGUAUUUAAUUGUCAGAGGUGAAAUUCUUGGAUUUAUUAAAGACUAACUUAGGCGAAAGCAUUUGUCAAGGAUGUUUUCAUUAAUCAAGAACGAAAGUUAGGGGAUCAAAGACGAUCAGAUACCGUCCUAGUCUUAACUAUAAACUAUGCCGACUCGGUUUCGGCCGGGUAACACAAAAUCCCGGUCGGCGCCGUAUGAGAAAUCAAAGUCUUUGGGUUUUGGGGGGAGUAUGGUCGCAAGGCUGAAACUUAAAGGAAUUGACGGAAGGGCACCACCAGGUGUGGAGCCUGCGGCUUAAUUUGACUCAACACGGGGAAACUUACCAGGUCAAAACAUGGGUGGGAUUGACAGAUUGAGAGCUCUUUCUUGAUUCUAUGGGUGGUGGUGCAUGGCCGUUCUUAGUUGGUGGAGUGAUUUGUCUGCUUAAUUGCGUUAACGAACGAGACCUCAACCUGCUUACUAGACGCGUGCUGUACAGAAGCGCGCGCUCUUUUUAGAGGGACUAUGCG
rnacentral:rRNA from 1 species